UCCGGGACGCACACACAGGUCAGAAACAAAAAUCAGAUUCAAAAUUUCACUUUUCUUUCGACACUUCAGCUAAUUUGUCAACAACAAGAAGGGUCAAACUCUAAUAGCAUACGUAGUGGGGCGGCAUGGCAUACCAUAGCGCCGCCAUGGCGCCGCACACACCAAAACGCGGGGCGCUAUGCCCAAAAAAAAUUUGAAAGCGCGAUAUUAAUAACGGCGGUAUAAAUGGGGGAUUUGAUUUUUGACCGUUGUAAACGGUCAUUUUACUAAAAAAAAAAAAAAAUUAAUUAUUUUUUCAAACUUUCCUUUAAAUCAAUUCCUCCUCUCCUAUUUUUUUUACCACACACACUCAAACACUCUUUAUCUCUUCCAUUUUUUUUAGAAAUCCUUAAAUUUUAUACAAUGCAUCAAUUCAACCGUGGCUUCAUUCCUCCCCGAUCAAGUGCGGACCCAAACUAAAGUGGUAAUCCUACUCGCCCCGUGUCGCCGGUUCCCACUAGACCCAACCCUUUCGGCUCCGGUUUUCUCGAUUACAAUCAACAAAGUCCCGGGUUCAUGAAUCUUUUGAACCAACCGCUAUCAUGGGACCCUAAUCUCUACGGAUGGAACCCGAAUCAAAACACCGAUGGGAUGGGGUCGUCUCAAGCGUUUGGGUCGGCUCAAGCUUUCGGCUCCCCACUACACGAACCCGAUGUUGUUCCGGAAACACAACCCGAGGUAGCGGAGACGCAAAAAGGAAAAGGAAAAGGAAAAGCAAAACGGCCACAUAAAAAGAAAGUGGAAACCACCACCCGAGCGAAAAAAAUGUGAUAACGUGGGAGAGCCCGAAGAGGAGUAUGCGUUAACCCGCGCUUUCAUCGAUGUUUCGGAGGACCCGGUUAUUUCAAACAAUCAAAGUAAAACCGUUUUUUGGAACCGAAUACGAGAACUUUUUUUCGAUCUCAUGGGUAGAGGAGACGAAUACCGCCUACCGGACUCUAUAUCGAGGAAGUGGACUGAUAUAAACAAGAAAUGCACAAACUUUCAAAUCGUGUACCAACGCUUGUUUUCCGGAUGGAAAAGUGGAAGUAACGAUGAAGACAUUACGCAAGCGGCAUUGGUCGAGUAUACGGAGGCCGGGCGAAAAAACCCGAGUCGUCGUCGAUGUCUAUGGGAACGGAUAUGAGUAACGCAUUUUCGGAGAUAAACAAGCGACUUCAAGACAUACACGAACUCGGUAAUAAACGUUUGGAGGAGAACCGCGAAGUUACGGAGAUUAUGCGGGAUAGACAAUGGGCUCACGACUUUGAGUUCUACUCGAAACCGCAUGACCACUUAACGGGAAAAGCUUUGAAAAUGGCGUUGGCACAAAA